UGAGGAAUAUUGGACAAUGGUCGGAAGACUGAUCCAGCCAUGCCGCGUGCAGGAUGACGGCCUUAUGGGUUGUAAACUGCUUUUGUAAGGGAAGAAUAAGGGCUACGCGUAGUUUGAUGACGGUACCUUACGAAUAAGCAUCGGCUAACUCCGUGCCAGCAGCCGCGGUAAUACGGAGGAUGCGAGCGUUAUCCGGAAUCAUUGGGUUUAAAGGGUCUGUAGGCGGGCUUGUAAGUCAGAGGUGAAAGCGCUCAGCUCAACUGAGCAACUGCCUUUGAAACUGUUGGUCUUGAAUGGUUGUGAAGUAGUUGGAAUGUGUAGUGUAGCGGUGAAAUGCUUAGAUAUUACACAGAACACCGAUAGCGAAGGCAUAUUACUAACAAUUAAUUGACGCUGAUGGACGAAAGCGUGGGGAGCGAACAGGAUUAGAUACCCUGGUAGUCCACGCUGUAAACGAUGGAUACUAGCUGUUUGGAGCAAUCUGAGUGGCUAAGCGAAAGUGAUAAGUAUCCCACCUGGGGAGUACGUUCGCAAGAAU
rnacentral:rRNA from 1 species